rnacentral:misc_RNA from 1 species
AAGCAGCAUCAUAUCGACCCCGACCAAUCAUUGCAAGCAUCCUUAGAAAAUAGUGGUUGCAAAAUGUACCUAUACCAAAAGUAUAUAUACGAGGAUGAAUGGAUUGCUUUUCUGUUUGAUUUUUCUGCAUCACAUCACAAAUAUGUCUCUCAUUUUCGACAGCACCAUCAGUAACAAGAAAGAUGAUAGGAACUAAACCAUCACUACUCCCAUCAUUCAGCAGUUCAGUGGCCUUUGUUAAUGGAAGUAAAAUAUCAGUGCCACCCCCUGCAACAAAAU